rnacentral:rRNA from 1 species
GGGAUUGCCCUAGUAACGGCGAGUGAAGCGGCAACAGCUCAAAUUUGAAAUCUGGCCCUCGCGGUCCGAGUUGUAAUUUGUAGAGGAUGCUUUUGGCGCGGUGCCUUCCGAGUUCCCUGGAACGGGACGCCGGAGAGGGUGAGAGCCCCGUACGGUUGGUCACCAAGCCUCUAUAAAGCUCCUUCGACGAGUCGAGUAGUUUGGGAAUGCUGCUCUAAAUGGGAGGUAAAUUUCUUCUAAAGCUAAAUACCGGCCAGAGACCGAUAGCGCACAAGUAGAGUGAUCGAAAGAUGAAAAGCACUUUGAAAAGAGGGUUAAAUAGCACGUGAAAUUGUUGAAAGGGAAGCGUUUGCGACCAGACCUUCUCCAGGCGGAUCAUCCGGCGUUCUCGCCGGUGCACUUCGCCUGGUCUAGGCCAGCAUCGGUUUUCCCGGGGGGAUAAAGGCCUGGGGAACGUAGCUCCUUCGGGAGUGUUAUAGCCCCUAGCGUAAUGCCUCCGGGGGGACCGAGGACCGCGCUUCGGCAAGGAUGCUGGCGUAAUGGUCGUCAACGACCCGUCUUGAAACACGGACCAAGGAGUCGAACAUUUGUGCGAGUGUUUGGGUGUGAAACCCUCACGCGUAAUGAAAGUGAACGGAGGUGAGAGCCCUUCGGGGUGCAUCAUCGACCGAUCCUGAUGUCUUCGGAUGGAUUUGAGUAAGAGCAUAACUGUUCGGACCCGAAAGAUGGUGAACUAUGCGUGGAUAGGGUGAAGCCAGAGGAAACUCUGGUGGAGGCUCGCAGCGGUUCUGACGUGCAAAUCGAUCGUCAAAUCUGCGCAUGGGGGCGAAAGUACGUAUACACUUUUCUUUUUCAACUGAAUAUUUUUGUAUUUUUUGGCAGGUGGGUUACUGGGGGUCAUUUCCAUGGUCAGGGUAUACAUAUCUCCUUUUUGGAAUAUGUUUUGCUUCUAAUCGUAAUAACCGUGUUACUACCACAUAUGCUAACAGCAUUCUAUAGGACUAU